UGCUUAACACAUGCAAGUCGAACGAGGUCUUCGGAACCUAGUGGCGGACGGGUGAGUAACACGUGAGAAUCUGGCUUCAGGACGGGGACAACAAGGGGAAACCCUUGCUAAUACCGGAUAGGCCGAAAGGUGAAAGAUUUAUCGCCUGAAGAUGAGUUCGCGGAACUGGUAUAGGCUAGUGGUGCCGUAAAGAGGCACAAGUCAACGAUCAGUUAGGCUGUUCUGAGAGGAUGUAUUCAGUCCACACUGGACUGAGGACACGGGCCCAGACUCUUACGGAAGCAGCAGUGGGGAUUUUCGCAAUGGGCGGCAGCCUGACGAGCAAUACGCGUGCGGGAGGAAAGGCCUUUGGGUCGUAAACCGCUUUGUUAGGGAAGAAAUUUGACGGUACCUAACGAAUAAAGCCUCGGCUAACUCCGUGCCAGCAGCCGCGGUAAGACGGAGGAGGCAAGCGUUAUCCCGGAAAUUAUUGGGCGUAAAGCGUCCGCAGGUGGCAUUUCAAGUCUGCUGUCAAAAGCCCAGGGCUCAACUCUGGAUCGGCAGUGGAAACUGAGGCGCUAGAGUGCGGUAGGGGCAGAGGGAAUUCCCAGUGUAGCGGUGAAAUGCGUAGAUAUUGGGAAGAACACCAGUAGCGAAGGCGCUCUGCUGGACCGUAACUGACACUCAUGGACGAAAGCUAGGGGAGCGAAAGGGAUUAGAUACCCCUGUAGUCCUAGCCGUAAACGAUGGACACUAGGUGUUGCGCGUAUCGACCCGUGCAGUGCCGUAGCCAACGCGUUAAGUGUCCCGCCUGGGGAGUACGCUCGCAAGAGUGAAACUCAAAGGAAUUGACGG
rnacentral:rRNA from 1 species